rnacentral:rRNA from 1 species
UUAAAUUGAAGAGUUUGAUCAUGGCUCAGAUUGAACGCUGGCGGCAGGCCUAACACAUGCAAGUCGAACGGUAACAGGAAGCAGCUUGCUGCUUCGCUGACGAGUGGCGGACGGGUGAGUAAUGUCUGGGAAACUGCCUGAUGGAGGGGGAUAACUACUGGAAACGGUAGCUAAUACCGCAUAACGUCGCAAGACCAAAGAGGGGGACCUUCGGGCCUCUUGCCAUCGGAUGUGCCCAGAUGGGAUUAGCUAGUAGGUGGGGUAACGGCUCACCUAGGCGACGAUCCCUAGCUGGU